AUCCUUUUAUUAUCUAUCUACACCACAGGAUAAAUAAUGACAAAAAUAUUAUAAGAUUUUAUAAAUAUAAUUUAAGAACCAUAAAAAUUUUCAAUAGUAACCAAAGUAAAAAAAAAAAUGGCAACUCCAGAAGAAAGCAUCGAAACUUCAGCUCCGCCGGCGGUGGAACCACCACUGCCCGCCGUUGAUGAAAUAUCUAAGGAAGUCAAGGAGGAAAAGAAAGGAGAAGGAGAUCUAAAGGCAACCCUUUUGAUAUCAGGUGCUGUAGUAGCUGUGAUUGGUGCAAUUUUUGCUAUUUUUAAGAAGGUCAAAGGGUCUGCUUGAAUUAAUGCUUGCUAAAUUAUCUGCAUUUUGUAAUUUCUUUCCCCCUUUUCUGUAAAGACCCUAAAUGAAACUACUUUAAAGGGAAAUAAAUAAAUUUCAUAUGCUUUUAUUAUAA